CUGAUUGUUCUAGACACUGCAAUCCUCUAUUAAUCCAUAGAACAGGCACAGUCUAGCCAGUAGGGGUGUAAAUCCUACCAUUUUGCUUCAAUCUGGACUUGGAGGUACUAGGGGUGAGAGGGUACUUCAGUCUCCAUGUCCAUUCACUCCUUGGUCUCA
rnacentral:sRNA from 1 species